GGUUAUGAGGGUGAUCUAGCUGUGACAUCUGUCGCCCCAUUAUCAGAGCUGGUUGGGUUGAAUGGCUGGUGGGCGUCCCCUUCCUCCCUCAGUGCUCCAUGCCUGUCCCUCCUGAAGCUGCACACUGAGUUGUGGAGGAUGGCCACCUCAGAUAGAGGAGGAGCAUGUCCUUGCUCAAGGGUGUACCAUCAGCUACUCCCCCCUCCUAGAACCUCCAAACAAGCUCCCAAGAUCAAAGCAAGACCUGACAUUAAAGUCCUGAGUAGACUAGAGAAGAAAGAGGCAAGGCCACAGGAAAAAGGGCAUGUGCACUUCGUGU
rnacentral:snRNA from 1 species